CCGUAACCCGUACCUAAAGGGGGGACGGGCCGGACCUACGGUCGAAGGAGUUCGAGUGACUGGGGUG
rnacentral:rRNA from 1 species